GUGCUCACUUCAGCAGUACAUAUACUAAAAUUAGAACAACACAGAGAUUAGCAUGGCCACUGUACAAGGAUGAUGAACAAAUUCGUUGGUUCCCUGUGAAGCAAUAUGU